GGUCAAGUUAUUAAGGGCUUACGGUGGAUGCCUUGGGACCAAGAGCCGAUGAAGGGCGCGGCAAGGCUGCGUUAA
rnacentral:rRNA from 1 species